rnacentral:lncRNA from 1 species
GAAUCGACUUACCAUUAGUCGGACAGUCGCUGUGGUCUUGAUAAUUAUGUCGUCAUCGGGUCGUAUGGUGUCAAGGCUCCCUCCCCUUAUCGUCUUGGUGCCAAUUUUGCUUAUGAUAAUAUCCUGCGUACAUUGUCAAGUGGCUGGUACAUCGCUGCUAGGUGCACUCGUUAUUAACAAGAUAGAGCGCUGUAUCGACAAACUCAACGCCAUCGUCGACAUCGUGGGACUCAUCUCCGGCGGGGUCUAAAGUCGGCAGCCUAUCUCUAUUUGAGAAAAUAACAAGAACUAAAAAAAAUAUUCGUUAUUUUAAAUUCCGUAAAGCUAAAUAAUAAAUAAAAUAUAUGCAUAUAAAUUGGACAUUGGUAUUUAUUAAAUAAAAUGGAACGUUAUUUUGUACAAAGCGAAUAAAAUGUGCCAC